UUAUGAAGGUAGGAAACACUUUGCAACGUAUAUAGGGCAGGACACGAUGGCCCCCUGGGCGACAGCCCCUCAUUCAACGUUGGAUUGUGUAUAUGUAGUACAAGAUAAUGAGUGUUACAGGGAGUUAGUUAGGACGCUAAGUAGUGGGAUCUGAAUUUGUCAAGAACACAGGCGAUUGACGCUUGAUGGCCGCGUGACGAGAGUCUCAAUAAACGUACAAAUACAAUACAAUGCAUCAUUAU
rnacentral:sRNA from 1 species